rnacentral:rRNA from 1 species
CAAUAGCGUAUAUUAAAGUUGUUGCGGUAAAAAAGCUCGUAGUUGGAUUUCUACCGAAGAUAGCCGGUCGGGUCUUCGACCUUGUAUCUGGUUUUGUCUUUGGUAUCCUCAUAGGGAACGUUUCUGCGCUUUAUUGCGUGGUGCGGUAUCUAUGACUUUUACUUUGAGGAAAUUAGCGUGUUCACGGCAGGCAAACGCCUUGAAUAUAUUAGCAUGGAAUAAUAACAUAGGAUCUUCGUCCUAUUUUGUUGGUUUCUAGGGCUAAGAUAAUGAUUAAUAGGGAUAAUUGGGGGCAUCUGUAUCAACGCGUCAGAGGUGGAAUUCUUGGAUUGCGUUGCGACAAACUACUGCGAAAGCAUUUGCCAAGGAUGUUUUCAUUGA